rnacentral:rRNA from 1 species
AUGAACGCUGGCGGCGUGCCUAAUACAUGCAAGUCGAGCGAACGGACGAGAAGCUUGCUUCUCUGAUGUUAGCGGCGGACGGGUGAGUAACACGUGGAUAACCUACCUAUAAGACUGGGAUAACUUCGGGAAACCGGAGCUAAUACCGGAUAAUAUUUUGAACCGCAUGGUUCAAAAGUGAAAGACGGUCUUGCUGUCACUUAUAGAUGGAUCCGCGCUGCAUUAGCUAGUUGGUAAGGUAACGGCUUACCAAGGCAACGAUGCAUAGCCGACCUGAGAGGGUGAUCGGCCACACUGGAACCGAGACACGGUCCAGGCUCCUACGGGAGGCAGCAGUAGGGAAUCUUCCGCAAUGGGCGAAAGCCUGACGGAGCAACGCCGCGUGAGUGAUGAAGGUCUUCGGAUCGUAAAACUCUGUUAUUAGGGAAGAACAUAUGUGUAAGUAACUGUGCACAUCUUGACGGUACCUAAUCAGAAAGCCACGGCUAACUACGUG